CAUAACUUAUGUUCAAGUCUAUCCGUCUACUAAGCCUACUACUACACGUAGAAUUGAUGCGCGGCAGGCUGGUGCACGGUAUUCAGAACUGAAUUCGGGCCACUCCAGAUUAAAACCCGCGCACUACUGCGCGGGUUUUUUU
rnacentral:sRNA from 1 species